ACAGUAACAGUGUCUCUCUCUUUAGCCUUCUCUCCUUCUGGUCACACUGGAGACCUCUCACCCCAGAUCUUUCGGCCACUUCCUGUGUCAUGAUUUCUAGAUUCUUCUCGACUGUCCUCCAGGGAACACACUCUCACUUCUACGGCCAUUCUUGAAACGGCCAGAACGUAUGACAGCACUCCAAGUGUGGUUUGAACAGCUCAGCUUGCAACACCACUGGAUACUAUAAUUCCAGGGAUGCAAUUUAACAUUUCAUUAAACUUACAGCACACUAAGUUUGCACUCAAUUCAGACUCCCAAAUCUCUUUUGCCAAACUGGUGCCAAGAUGAAUCUUUCCCAACGAAUGCUUGUGUAACUGACUUUGGAUCCAGAACAGAUGUGCCACGCAGCUGUCACGGGCUGUGAAAUCACCAAGUACAUCGUCAGGCACGUACAGGAGCUAAAUCCAGGAGCCAACAACCCUUGAGAGGUUACCCAGCUGGAUGGCACAGCGAGCCAGUGCCCUUUCCUGCCUUGGAUGGCUUUCGAGGGCAAUCUCCAAGCAAUCCUGACAUCUGCGUUGUGCCUCUCUUCACCCAGACCAAACUCUUUGCAGGCUCUACUCGGAAAACCAAACAAACAAACAAACACACAGCCUGUGUUCUUCCUUCAAACCCCCAGCCUUCUGCAGAGGGGCAGGACACUUCCAGGGACCUCAGCAGCCACAGCGCCAAUCUGGAAUCGCCCAUGGCCGAAUCUCCCUUCUCUGUCACCUGAGUUUCUGCAAAAGCCCAGGGUUGUGCUGACUGGAGUUGGGGAUGCCGAGGCCAUGUGUCCCAGAGUGUAUGGGCCUCCUGGGGUUGCAUGAUGUGAGCCCUUUGGGAGGACACUCCCCAGGCUCGCCUGCAGGGCUUUGAGGUUUCCAGGGAGCUCAGCACUUAGCAGAACCGCCCUUUGUUAAUACUGACUUUUCGGAACGUUCAUGCCCAGGGGAGGAGGGCGGACAGUUUGCUCCUUUUGCAGUGGGGUGAGCCCUUUGUCCCUGAUGCCCCUGAAGCAUGAUCGCUCUCAAAUCAUCGCCCGAAUUCAGACUCACUUCCCUAAAACAAAUUAUUGUUCAUGCUCACUGCUGGGGGAAAAAGAAUCUUUUUAUUUUAAAUUCCAGAAUAUUCUUGCCAUCAGCUCAAUAAAAUGCAGCUCCUACAGCUUGGA